AAAGAGGAAAUGUCAAGAGAACAGGUUGCAUACCUUGAACUCUUGAACAAGUAUAAGACUUGCUAUUUUUAUUGAGUGAUAUUAGUGGGUUAUGAUAAAAUUUGUUUUAGUAGGAAUGCGAACAACCAGAAGAUAGUAGUAGCCAUGGUUUUUGAAUUCUAAACCAAGGCUUGUAGCUCCGUGGCAUUGCAUUUUGUGUAAUGGUUUUGUGGUUUGAAGGUUGCUUUGUAGUCUCCUACUAGACCCUUAUUAAGUACUUAUCCAU
rnacentral:misc_RNA from 1 species